rnacentral:rRNA from 1 species
AUUGAACGCUGGCGGCAGGCUUAACACAUGCAAGUCGAGCGGAGAGAGGUAGCUUGCUACUGAUCUUAGCGGCGGACGGGUGAGUAAUGUAUCGGAACGUACCUUUCAGUGGGGGAUAACGUAGCGAAAGUUACGCUAAUACCGCAUAUUCUGUGAGCAGGAAAGCAGGGGAUCGCAAGACCUUGCGCUGAUUGAGCGGCCGAUAUCAGAUUAGCUAGUUGGUGAGGUAAAGGCUCACCAAGGCGACAAUCUGUAGCGGGUCUGAGAGGAUGAUCCGCCACACUGGAACUGAGACACGGUCCAGACUCCUACGGGAGGCAGCAGUGGGGAAUUUUGGACAAUGGGGGCAACCCUGAUCCAGCCAUGCUGCGUGAGUGAAGAAGGCCUUCGGGUUGUAAAGCUCUUUCGUCCGGGAAGAAAUCGCGUCAGCUACUACCUAGUGUGGAUGACGGUACCGGAAUAAGAAGCACCGGCUAACUACGUGCCAGCCGCCGCUGUAA